rnacentral:lncRNA from 1 species
AGACGAGGUUUUGCCAUGUUGCCCAAGCUGAUCUCGAACUUCUUGGCUCAAGUGAUCUGCCUGCCUUCCAAAGUGCUGGGAUUACAGGCAUGAGCCACCAAGCGCAGCCAUGAUUUAUUAGAUCACUUCUAAAAGCCCUCUCUCCAUCUCCAAGCCAGCAAGUGCUUCUUUGCACCCCAGCUCUAAAACAAAGCCCUUGGGGACACAAUCAAAGACAGUAGUUGCCAAGAGGAAUAGGGAGCAUGGAAAGAAGGUGCUGGAUGUGCAUACAGCUAACCUGGUAACUCCAAACUGGAUGAGCUCAUUCCUUGAGACUGGAAUUACAAAAUUGGAACAGCUCACUAAUAAUUGAAGAUGAUUUGGGAAAACCAUUAUCCUUCCUCAGGUUUUACAAGAACCUGUGACAAAUGAAAAUGGUUUUCC